GAUGAAGAACGUAGCGAAAUGCGAUAAGUAGUGUGAAUUGCAGAAUUCAGUGAAUCAUCGAAUCUUUGAACGCACAUUGCGCCCCUUGGUAUUCCAUGGGGCAUGCCUGUUCGAGCGUCAUUUGUACCUUCAAGCUUUGCUUGGUGUUGGGUGUUUGUCCCGAGGGACUCGCCUUAAAGUAAUUGGCAGCCAGUGUUUGGUUUUGAAGCGCAGCACAAGUCGCGAUUCAAGGCUACACGCCCGCUUCCACAAGCCUUUUUUCACUUUUGACCUCGGAUCAGGUAGGGAUACCCGCUGAACUUAAGCACAUCAAUAAGCGGAGGA
rnacentral:misc_RNA from 1 species